AACAUCGCGCACCUGCGGGAACCUGCGGAGGGAUCAUUAUCGAGUGUAAUCUACCCCUUUAAAAAAGGGUAGUACCUCCCGUCCUUUGCAGGCCUCUUUUUUUAUUAGGGGGGGCUUUUUAAGACUUUCUGCUUCGGCGGGGUUACUCCCGCCGGAACACCCUCAAAAAAUUCUCGAAAAAAAUCGUUCAGUCCGAGAACUUUUUAAAAAUAAAAUAAAACUUUUAGCAAUGGAUCUCAG
rnacentral:misc_RNA from 1 species